rnacentral:rRNA from 1 species
UACGUAGGGCGCAAGCGUUGUCCGGAAUUAUUGGGCGUAAAGCGCACGUAGGCGGCAUUGCAAGUCGGAUGUGAAAUCCCUCGGCUUAACCAAGGAAGUGCAUCCGAAACUGCAGUGCUUGAGUACUUAAGAGGAUCGCGGAAUUCCCGGUGUAGAGGUGAAAUUCGUAGAUAUCGGGAGGAACACCAGUGGCGAAGGCGGCGAUCUGGGAAGAUACUGACGCUGAGGUGCGAAAGCGUGGGGAGCAAACAGG